UGUUAGGAGUGAUUUAGCGAUCUUGAUCCGGUGUAAUCUCUUAUCACACCGGGCAGCAUGUGAAGGAAGAGAAGUCACAUUCUAUGAAGAACAAGAAGCCCGUGCGCUUGAAAAGGUAAUAUAUUGGGUUCCACCAAGCGAAUUAGAAGGUACAUGCGUUUCAACCCUUGAAAUUCAUGAUGUUGAGGAUAUUCAGUUGUCAUGCAUUGAAGAUGUGAC
rnacentral:lncRNA from 1 species